GCCGGGCACGGUAGUGAGUGCCUGUAGUCCCAGCUAUUCAGGAGGCUGAGGCUGGAGGAUCGCUUGAGUCCAGGACUUCUGGGCUGUAGUGCGCUAUGCCUGGUGUCCACACUAAGUUCGGCAUCAAUAUGGUGACCUCCCGGGAGCCGGGGACCACCAGGUUGCCUAAGGAGGGGUGAACCGGCCCAGGUCGGAAACGGAGCAGGUCAAAACUCCCGUGCUGAUCAGUGAUGGGAUCGUGCCUGUGAAUAGCCACUGCACUCCAGCCUGGGCAACAUAGCGAGACUCCGUCUCU
rnacentral:SRP_RNA from 1 species